GACGAACCGUGCGAACGUUGUUCGGAUUCACUGGGCUUAAAGGGCGCGUAGGCGGGCCGUAAAGUCGGGGGUGAAAUCUUUCAGCUCAACUGGAAAAGAGCCUUCGAUACUGACGGCCUCGAGGGAGGUAGGGGCGUGCGGAACUUCCGGUGGAGCGGUGAAAUGCGUAGAGAUCGGAAGGAACGCCGGUGGCGAAAGCGGCGCGCUGGACCUCUUCUGACGCUGAGGCGCGAAAGCCAGGGGAGCAAACAGG
rnacentral:rRNA from 1 species